UACAGAGGGUGCGAGCGUUGUUCGGAAUUAUUGGGCGUAAAGAGCUCGUAGGCGGCCUGUCACGUCGGCUGUGAAAACCCGGGGCUCAACCCCGGGCCUGCAGUCGAUACGGGCAGGCUAGAGUUCGGCAGGGGAGACUGGAAUUCCUGGUGUAGCGGUGAAAUGCGCAGAUAUCAGGAGGAACACCGGUGGCGAAGGCGGGUCUCUGGGCCGACACUGACGCUGAGGACGAAAGCGUGGGGAGCGAACAGG
rnacentral:rRNA from 1 species